AAGACUAUACUUCACAGGAUCAUUUCUGUAGUAUAUCUUAUACCAACUUUGGCUAAAACCAGAGUGGAACGGCAACCACGAUGACGAGCUGUGGUGCUUUAUCUGUAAGCGUGAGGGAGAUUCGUGUUGGUUAUUUGAUACACUCUGUGUAUCAGAGCCCACAAUCGUCGAUGAUCGCUAACCUGCUAACUCAGUGGGCCACGGAUAAGGUGCUUUCUGAGUGGC